AGGACAUGGGUGGAAAACCACAAGCUUGUCCAGUGAUUGGGACAUGGGUGGAAAACCACAAGCUGUCCCGGUGAUUGGGGACGAGGGUGGAAAACCACAAGCUUGUCCAGUGAUUGGGACGAGGGUGGAAAAAGUAACCCCUGGUGAAUGGGGUAAAGACCCCGGUGAAUGGGGUAGAUAUCAAGAAUGAAAAAAAUCAGUAAAAAAAAAAAUUAAGGUGAAACAUUGUUAAUCUCUUUUAUGAUUAAAUAUCUAUCUAAAAAAAUUAAAAAAAGUGAAAUCAAUCACUGUUAAUCUCUUUUCAUGAUUGUAUCUCACUCCAUAGGAUAGGUUUUUUUAUCUAACCUUUUUUUCUUUUUUUUUCAGACUAUUCCUUUGAAGAACCCAAUGGAGUGGGCAAAUAUCCCCGAUGUUUUUCCUCAUUACUUAAUAUAUACAUAGCCUCUAUUUUGUAAUGCUAAUUUGUUACAAUUUCCCUCUUAUUAUUUAUUGUCAUAUUUUAACUUCAAAAGGACUUAAGAUGUAAUCCCAUGUUUAGAGGUGUUCAUUACUGCAUGAUUACCGUAUGUCACUACUUAAUCCUUUUCUUUUUUAGGUCAAUCAGUUAGAAGAUCACGCUCUGAAAAUACAGCAGGUCGGAUGUUUCUUAGAACAGAAAGCAGAAGUUGGUGAACCGAGAAACUGACUGGGGAGGAACCGGACUGACCUGGACCAAGCCAUUCCACAGAAGGAUACAGAGAUUGCAACCAUUUCUAGAAACACUUGUACAAUUUUUAAUUUUUUUUUCCAGUAAAUAUUAGAUAGGUAUGUUACAUUCAGACAAGCGAAUGUGGAAAAACCAAGGCAUGGCUGAAGUCGGUGCCGCAACGUGCUAGUGGUUUUUUCAAGAGUCUUUCAACUUCAAUAGGGAAGGAUCAAUAAAUAAUGUAUUUUCGGCUAUUGAAAUGUGCAGCCAUCUUGGGGUUAGUAGUUAGCCAGGGGGCAGUUACAGUAUCCUAAGUGUUGUGUUUUCCUUGGAAACCCAGACCUCGGGGGUUGGGCCUCGGCCUGACGGGAACUCAUCUCACUUUUAGCUAGAUAAGGUGGUUGCACUUUCCCAAAUUUGACAUGAUCACAUCAGUAUACACAUAUAUAUAUAUAUUUAGCGUAUCUUUAGUUAACUCAGCAUUUAAGACCUUGUGCUCGUAGGGUCGAGGCAAGGAGUUCUGGUCAGUUGAGUUCGUGACCCUCUGGGUCGGCGGAAUUAAUGUCGCUUGUUGGAGAAUAUGGUGUUGAGUCAGAGUUCUGUGGGAGUUUGUUCUCCCGUACGUUGAAGUUAUAGUUAGUCAUAAGUUAUGGCGGUCAGGCUUGGUGUGUGUGUUUGUGUGUUCUCUUCCCCAACUCCUGCACAGGUCCACGUGGGACAUCGAAGUUUGGCGAUGGAGAGGUAACUUACCGCCGCGCCAUCCGAUCCCGGAAGAACGGCUCGUCCGAGUCAUCUCCCUAAUGGGGACCCCUGAAGCGACGCCAUCUUCGCCGGACACCCUUCGACCAAGGACCGGUGAGGGCUACCGCAACUGAGGGGCGACUGCGGGCGAACGUUCGUGCCCCUUGCAGCAACACGGAGGAGGGGAGGAACACAGCUUGGAACCGCCUGGUAAGCAGCCUUGACGCGAGCUGAGGGACGAGGCUGAGGGACGAGAGACGAGUUCUAGAGAUGAGACGAGAGCUGCGACGAUCAAGUGACACCGGAGAGCGUCGACGUGAAGCGACGUUUCCACGGACCUGAACUCUGACGAACUCUGAAAGUUGUAAAAGUCUAGCAAACUGCGAACUCUAUUGCUAUGUGAACUCUGUAGUCUGUACAGAUGUCCGGUUUAUACAGAUGUCCAGUUGUAAGGACCCAUCAUUAUUAUCAUACAGUUUUUUUCUCUCAUUUAUAUAUUGUAGUAAUUAGUAUCGUAGAUAGAAAAAAGUUUAAAAAUCCGUUCGUUCGUUACUUCUUCGUAGGCAACAUCCCUAAAAGAACCCGGGGUUCCAACACAACAUCAGGCCCCGCUCACAUGUUUAGGUUUGUAGUACUAUACAUAAGCCAUGUAUAGUUUCAAUUUUUUUUUCAAUUAGAACUUAAAAUGUAAAAUAACUCUUAUCAUAAUUAUCAUUUACAUACCUGCAAUAAGAUAGUGAGACAAAUGUUAAGUGCCAUGUCUAAGUAAAAAGCUGUACAUAUUCAACAGUGCUUGUAUUUGUUGUAUUUUGUAUUUGUUGUGUUUGCUUGUAUUUCUAAAGUUAACAAGAUUGUAAGACAAGUGGAAUAUUUAAAAAUUGUUUAAUUAAAGCUGUCAAGAUUGAAACAUU